rnacentral:tRNA from 1 species
AACGAAGUUGCUCCUCAACUUUGUUGAUCGGUCCACGUGUACUUCUCGCCCCCCGAUUGGUUGAUUCCUGAAAAAAAAAAGGGAAGCAGCUUUAAGCUCCGAGCUGAUAGCUCCCAGCUAACGGUUACGAGCUCGAAAUUGGGUCUGUAGCUCAGUUGGUUAGAGCGCACCCCUGAUAAGGGUGAGGUCGGCAGUUCGAAUCUGCCCAGACCCACCAAUUUUGUUAUGGGGCCAUAGCUCACCUGGGAGAGCGCCUGCCUUGCACGCAGGAGGUCAGCGGUUCGAUCCCGCUUGGCUCCACCAUAAACUGCUUUUGAAAGCUUAGAAAUGACAUUCUAAUCAAAUGUUCAUUUCUAAUCUUUUGAUUAAUCGUUCUUUAAAACUUUGCGUAUGUGAUAGAAAGAUAACUGACCACUACUUUCACUGGCGGUGGAUCAGGCUAAGGUUAAGUUUGUGAUUUCAAACUUUCGGCGAAUGUCGUCUUCACAGAAUAACCCCAUUGCUUGGGUGAAACAC